AUAGGAUUUUUCUCGGACUUCAAUCUAUGCGCACAGUCUCUGAGCUCCGUGUUUGUGCAUCAAUGGCGUCUUCUUCCCUAUCGACCUUCUCCAGACCUCAGUCGUCUUCUCUGCUUACCAGAGACAUCGCCAAUUCUAACUUUUCCCACCCUCUCUCCGCAAAUCUAUCCUCCAGAACAAAUGUUUCCCUCCAGUUUCUGGGCAACAGACAGCCACCACUUCUCUCUUCCACCCCGAGGUUUCUAACUGUCAUCGCCAUGGCUCCGCCUAAACCCGGAGGCAAACCCAAGAAAGUUGUCGGGAUGAUAAAGCUGGCUCUAGAGGCCGGGAAAGCAACUCCGGCGCCGCCGGUGGGCCCGGCGCUUGGUUCGAAGGGAGUGAACAUAAUGGCGUUUUGUAAGGAUUACAAUGCAAGAACCGCUGACAAAGCCGGUUAUGUCAUUCCUGUCGAAAUCACCGUCUAUGAUGAUAGAAGCUUCACUUUUAUCCUCAAGACCCCUCCUGCUUCGGUUUUGUUGCUUAAAGCUGCAGGAGUCGAAAAGGGUUCAAAAGAUCCGAAGCAGCAGAAAGUCGGGGAGAUAACCAUAGACCAGCUACGCACUAUUGCAACAGAGAAGCUGCCCGAUCUAAACUGCAUGACAUUGGAAUCGGCAAUGAGAAUCAUUGCGGGAACUGCGGCUAACAUGGGGAUAGACAUAGAUCCUCCUGUUCUUGAACCCAAAAAGAAAGUAGCUUUGUAAAACAAGCAUCCUCCCUCUGUUCUUCUUUAGCUCUACCUCCUGUAUUCAUUCGAAAAUAUGCCUCAAGGGAGGAAAGUUGCAUUCUUGAUGCGUGACUUUGGAAGUUUCCGCGUUUUCUUGCUUUUGCAGUUCCCAUGAAACAUGCAAGAAUCGGUUGGUUAAGAUCUUGAGAAUGGGAAGUAACUAAUCAGAUUGACUCGGCUGAUACGGACGAUGAAGAAGAAAACGGAAAACAGCUCGAAAUGGGAACUCAUUCUACGUUUAAUCCAUGAACCGAAUUUUAGCCAUUAAAGGAAAGAGAAUCGUCUCUCCU